rnacentral:rRNA from 1 species
CCUACGGGUGGCUGCAGUGGGGAAUAUUGGACAAUGGGGGGAACCCUGAUCCAGCCAUGCCGCGUGUGUGAAGAAGGCCCUCGGGUUGUAAAGCACUUUCAGUGAGGAAGAACGCCUGGUGGUUAAUACCCAUCAGGAAAGACAUCACUCACAGAAGAAGCACCGGCUAACUCCGUGCCAGCAGCCGCGGUAAUACGGAGGGUGCGAGCGUUAAUCGGAAUUACUGGGCGUAAAGCGCGCGUAGGUGGCUUGAUAAGCCGGUUGUGAAAGCCCCGGGCUCAACCUGGGAACGGCAUCCAGAACUGUCAAGCUAGAGUGCAGGAGAGGAAGGUAGAAUUCCCGGUGUAGCGGUGAAAUGCGUAGAGAUCGGGAGGAAUACCAGUGGCGAAGGCGGCCUUCUGGACUGACACUGACACUGAGGUGCGAAAGCGUGGGUAGCAAACAGGCUUAGAUACCCUAGUAGUC